GUCCCUGUAGCGCAAAGAUAACGUGUUAAACUUUUAAUCUAAAGGUCGUGGGUUCGAAUCCCACCUGGAAUG